AGAGUUUGAUCCUGGCUCAGGAUUAACGCUGGCGGCGUGCCUAAUGCAUGCAAGUCGAACGUGGUCCCUUCGGGGGCAAACGUGGCGGACGGGUGAGGAACACGUGGGGAACCUGCCCAUUGGUGGGGGGUAGCCCGCGGAAACGCGGGGUAAUUCCGCAUACGCUCGCCUGGGGGUAGCCCGGGUGAGGAAAGGGUCUUUCGGGACUCGCCGAUGGAGGGGCCUGCGUCCGAUUAGCUAGUUGGUGGGGUAAUGGCCUACCAAGGCGGUGAUCGGUAGCUGGUCUGAGAGGACGGCCAGCCACAGGGGGACUGAGACACGGCCCCCACUCCUACGGGAGGCAGCAGCAAGGAGUUUUCCGCAAUGGGCGCAAGCCUGACGGAGCAACGCCGCGUGGGGGAUGACACCUUUCGGGGCGUAAACCCCUUUUCUUGGGGACGAAGCAGUGACGGUACCCGAGGAAGAAGGCCCCGGCUAACUACGUGCCAGCAGCCGCGGUA
rnacentral:rRNA from 1 species